GACUGAAGACAGGUGAGCGUCCCUUCACCUUACACCAGGAGGAGCUGAGAGUAGAGGAGACUGAAGACAGGUGAGCGCCCCUUCACCUUACACCUAGGAGAAGAGGAGACUGAAGACAGGUGAGCGCCCCUUCACCUUACACCUAGGAGAAGAGGAGACUGAAGACAGGUGAGCGCCCCUUCACCUUACACCUAGGAGAAGAGGAGACUGAAGACAGGUGAGCGCCCCUUCACCUUACACCUAGGAGAAGAGGAGACUGAAGACAGGUGAGCGCCCCUUCACCUUACACCUAGGAGAAGAGGAGACGGAAGACAGGUGAGCGCC